rnacentral:tmRNA from 1 species
GGGGGCGACACGGUUUCGACGGAAGCAGUCGCGACCCGAAGGCAUGCCGGGACCCACCUGCCCGCAACUUGGUGGAAAACUAGAACUGCCAACAACAACUUGGCACUUGCUGCUUAAUUAAUUAAGCGCACGCUUCCCCGGGUUUUGCUCACGGGCCCGGCAAGAGGCGUCACACAGUGAGCUGGCCCGAGCCUUUCGGUCCGUAAGGCUCGGGCGAGAUGCAUCGGACUAGCCGGCUGCGUUUCUUGCUCAUUCUGACCGCGGCUGGCGAACCAAAGCGAAUUGAGCUAAGCAUGUAGGCUUCGGGCCGUAGCGCUUUUCGGACGGGGGUUCGACUCCCCCCGCCUCCACCA